UGGGGAAUAUUGCACAAUGGGGGAAACCCUGAUGCAGCGACGCCGCGUGAACGAAGAAGGUAUUCGUAUCGUAAAGUUCUGUCCUAUGGGAAGAUAAUGACAGUACCAUAGAAGAAAGCUCCGGCUAAAUACGUGCCAGCAGCCGCGGUAAUACGUAUGGAGCGAGCGUUAUCCGGAAUUAUUGGGCGUAAAGGGCUUGUAGGCGGUUCGUCGCGUCUGGUGUGAAAGCCCAUCGCUUAACGGUAGGUUUGCGCCGGGUACGGGCGGGCUAGAGUGCAGUAGGGGAGACUGGAAUUCUCGGUGUAACGGUGGAAUGUGUAGAUAUCGGGAAGAACACCAAUGGCGAAGGCAGGUCUCUGGGCUGUUACUGACGCUGGGAAGCGAAAGCGUGGGGAGCGAACAGG
rnacentral:rRNA from 1 species